GGACAGCUCCAUGAGGGCUGGACUGCUCCCACCUCCUACACCUCUCCGCCAGUCUCCCAGUGGCUUCUUCCCUCCCCUGACUCCCAAUGUCCAGGGCUCCUCAGACCCUGUCCCCACACCGGCCUAAGAGCUCAUCACCAUAUUAAGAAAGGAAAAGGGAGAGGCGCUGGAACUAAAAAUAAGACCAGAUGAGUCGGAGGUAACAGCUGACGAUUUCCCCCAGCUCUCUUUAUCACUUCUCUCUUACCCUGGAUAUUUUGGGGCUCAGCCGACCCUCUACUCUGAAAGAGGCCUGGGAAUGAACCGACCCACAGGGAAAAGCAGAGGAGCUCUCUGAGCAAAGCGAAAGGGGCAAGUGGGUGAAGGAAAAGGAAGAUCCACCAGGAUGAGGGUGGGCAGGAGUGAAAGGCUCCCCGGGACGACUCAUUCAUCCAAGAAGGGACCAGUAAAGAGCCCAGGCACAGGGACCAAGCUUUCGGAGAUGUCUAUCACCCUGUGUAGAGCAGGGCUGAGGUGCCUCACCUAAAGUAAAGACUGCAGAGAUUCAGAAAACACUGUUCCAGCCUCUAUUUCAAGGCCACACCAGAGAGAAUGGGCUGAGUGACGGGAUGGAGCCGAGAUGCUCUGACGACGGGGACACAGGGCAGAGACCACCAGUCUGCCUGGAGUCCUUCCCUCCUGCCUGCCCUUCCUCAGAGGGCACCACGUGACCAUUCCCAUCAUUUAACCUCAUUGGACCUCAGAUUCUUCAUUGAUCAAAUAAGGUCUCCUCUGGCACCACAACUCUACGGUCCAUACACUGGUCUGAGGAAUGGGGGGACAGAUGAACCCACCCCACCGGCCUCUGCUGUGGGCCCCUCUACAGGGUAUGGCUCAGCUGCCCCUCUCUCACUCCCUUUCCAUUUCUCUGAGCCCCACUGGACUUCUGGGACAGUUGUUUAUCCUGUUCUUGCUCUCCAAGGGAUCACAGAGUGUCUUAAGGUAGAGGAUAGCCCUCAAGGGGCAAGGAUGUUUGAUUCACAUCCCCUCCCAGUCUGGCCUCCAGUCCCUGAAAGACUCUCCCCACCCCAACUCCGGCUACCAUGAAGAUCUAUGGAGGGAGCUUCACAGCAAUCUCCACGCCCCCCAAAUCACAUGCCACACAUCCAGACAGGUGAGGGCUGUUCCAAACAUUUAUUCUCUGGAGACUGGCUACCAGAUUCAACACGGCUAUGCCCCUCCCCUCUGGGCUCCCUUCAACCCACCCAUCUCCUACUGUGACAUCCUUAAUCCAGCCCCAGCAUUGCCUGUCUCUCUCAUCCAAGGUAAUUCAACCUAGUGUCUCUUGGCCCCCAACUCAUGUGACCUCUCAGAUGUUGUGUCAAACGCAUGAUCCCUAACCCUACCCCAGCUCUCAUGACAUCCCUAUGCCAUGGGAAGCUCUUCCUCUGCUGAGUUUAGUAGUACGUCUCCCUCUCCAGCCAGCCUAUGGAAGAGAAGACACCAGAGUGAAAUGAAAGAAGGCAGCAGGGGGAGAGAGGCAGAAGGAAAGCAAGGACAAGGUCGGAAGCCUGGGGUCUGGAACACAGGAGCAGAGGGUUGGGGUCUCUACCAACAGGAGUAGAGGGCACAGUAGAGGCCAGCCAGUGAGUGGAGAGAAGAUCAGUAGGUCUGGAGGAGUGAGGUGGAUGGGCCAGCUAGUUAGGGGGCUGGUGGCCACUCAAUCAGGGCAGGGCCCAGGGGAGCCUCACCACCAGGUCGUUGACGGAUGAUGAGUUUUCUGAUUUCAUCAUAGAUGAAGAUAAGAAUGCUGUAGGGAAUGGCACAGAACCACCAGACCAUCCUGCAGAGAUCAAGAGUCAGUCAGUGUGGCAGGAAGUACAGAGGCCAGAGAAAGGCAGGUGCAGGGAACAGUGUGCAGGAAUCAUGUGUCUCAUGUGUUGUGUCCACUAUCUGCCUGGGACUGCCGAGGGCUGGAGACAGCGAGGUGGGGUUUUUCCUACUAUUCAGUCCAUCACACAGGAGUUCCGAGAGCUGGGUCCCAGCUUGGUCCUCACCAUGUCAGUGCCCAGAUCAAUGCAGAGGAUGGUUAUGGUGCCCAGAGGCAGGGGUAUACGGAGGAUGAUGAACAGCAGGAAGGGCGUGAUCUCAGGAAUGUUGCUGGUCAAGGUGUAGGCGAUGGAUUUCUUCAGGUUGUCGAAGAUGAGGCGGCCUGGAGAGAAUGGUCAACCUUCUGUGAGAAGCUCUGAGAGGAUGCACCUCCCACAAACAAGCUCCUGGACAAAGAGACCACUACAAAAAAGGGUCCAUGAGAGGGUCUGGAGAUCCUAGACCUCAGCAGUCCCAGUUUAGUUUUUAUUUGUGUGACUGUUAAUUAGAGCCAUGAUUUAUCAGCAUGCCCUGUCUGUGUGCUCUUUGUUCUCGGAUUCAACAUGGCUAAUGUUAUCUGAUCUCUGAAAAUUAAGCAGGGUUGGGCCUCGUUAAUCCUGAGAUGUCUGAGAAUAUCAGUAUAAAAUGUUUUACAAGAUUAAAGCUGAUGUGCAAAGAGUCUGGGUUUGGGACAGGCAUGUGUUUCAAUUCCAUCUUUUGCCAUAACUAGUUUGUGACCUUGGGCACCCCUCGCCUCUCUGAGCUUUAUUUCUCCUGAUUUUGCCAGAUUGUGGAUUUUUCCU